CCCUUAGAUGUUCUGGGCCGCACGCGCGCUACACUGACGAUGGCAACGAGUUUUUCCUUCGCCGAAAGGUGUGGGUAAUCUUUUGAAACAUCGUCGUGCUGGGGAUAGAUCAUUGCAAUUUUUGAUCUUGAACGAGGAAUUCCUAGUAAGCGCGAGUCAUCAGCUCGCGUUGAUUACGUCCCUGCCCUUUGUACACACCGCCCGUCGCUACUACCGAUUGAGUGGUCCGGUGAGGCUUUGGGAUCUGAGCGGAAAGAGCGUUUCGCUGUUUCUGCCCGGAAAACUCAGUCGAACCUUAUCAUUUAGAGGAAGGAGAAGUCGUAACA
rnacentral:rRNA from 1 species